CCUACGGGAGGCAGCAGUGAGGAAUAUUGGUCAAUGGCCGAGAGUCUGAACCAGCCAAGUAGCGUGAAGGAUGACUGCUCUAUGGGUUGUAAACUUCUUUUAUAUGGGAAUAAAAUGUUCCACGUGUGGGUUUUUGCAUGUACCAUAUGAAUAAGGAUCGGCUAACUCCGUGCCAGCAGCCGCGGUAAUACGGAGGAUCCGAGCGUUAUCCGGAUUUAUUGGGUUUAAAGGGUGCGUAGGUGGUUUGUUAAGUCAGUUGUGAAAGUUUGUGGCUCAACCGUAAAAUUGCAGUUGAAACUGGCAGUCUUGAGUGCAGUAGAGGUAGGCGGAAUUCGUGGUGUAGCGGUGAAAUGCUUAGAUAUCACGAAGAACUCCGAUUGCGAAGGCAGCUCACUAAGCUACAACUGACACUGAGGCACGAAAGUGUGGGUAUCAAACAGGAUUAGAUACCCGAGUAGUC
rnacentral:rRNA from 1 species